CACCAAGACGUCAUUGAUCAGAAAUACAGUUUAGAGAUCAGCAUCUCCAAACAAACUGCCAAAAAAAACUGCUAAACAGAUAGACAGUAAAAACACUGACUCACUGUGAUCAGACUAUUAUUCCUCCUGGAUUCUCUGUGGAGCUGAAUGUAGAUCAGACUAUUAAUCCUCCUGGAUUCUCUGUGGAGCUGAAUGUAGAUCAGACUAUUAUUACUCCUGGAUGCUCUGUGGAGCUGACUAGUGUUGAUGUAGUCCAUCUGCAGGUGAGAGGUGGGGGGCUGGAGGAGGGUAGCAGGAGGGUGGGAAGAAGGUAGGAGGAGAGCUGGAGGAGGGUAGAAGGGGGGCACAAGGAAAGUCGGGAGGAUAACUGUCACAGUGGGGGCAGGUCCAGGCCUUGGAGUCAGCACAAAUGAGGGCCCCCUUAGCUCACCUGCCAGGCUACUGGCACACAGAGACUGGCAUUGAAUCAAUACAGGAGAGAGAGUUUUACACAUGCACACAUACACCAAAUUAACUUAAAAAUAAAUAUAUUUUCUAACAUGCCUUCCUCGCUCCCUCCCUCCAUCUCUUUCUCCAUUCCUCUCUCCCUAUCCCCCUCUAUCCCCCUCUAUCUCUAUCCCCCUCUCCCUCUAUCCCCCUCCCCCUCUCCCUCUAUCCCCCUCUAUCCCCCUCUUCCUCCAUCCCCCUCUACCCCUCUAUCCCUCUAUCCCCCUCUCCCCCCCUCUAUCCCCCUCGAUCCCCAGAGUGUAACUGUAACCAGAUGGGUUCUGUCCAUGACCGGUGUAAUGGAACAGGCUUCUGCCAGUGUAAAGACGGCGCUACGGGGCCCAAGUGUGAUGACUGUUUCCCUGGGUACUACUGGAAACAAGGCUGUUACUGUGAGUAUACAGGGGGAGGGGGAGAUAUGCACUUGGCUGUGUGUGUGUGNNNNNNNNNNCACACAGAGACUGGCAUUGAAUCAAUACAGGAGAGAGAGUUUUACACAUGCACACAUACACCAAAUUAACUUAAAAAUAAAUAUAUUUUCUAACAUGCCUUCCUCGCUCCCUCCCUCCAUCUCUUUCUCCAUUCCUCUCUCCCUAUCCCCCUCUAUCCCCCUCUAUCUCUAUCCCCCUCUCCCUCUAUCCCCCUCCCCCUCUCCCUCUAUCCCCCUCUAUCCCCCUCUUCCUCCAUCCCCCUCUACCCCUCUAUCCCUCUAUCCCCCUCUCCCCCCCUCUAUCCCCCUCGAUCCCCAGAGUGUAACUGUAACCAGAUGGGUUCUGUCCAUGACCGGUGUAAUGGAACAGGCUUCUGCCAGUGUAAAGACGGCGCUACGGGGCCCAAGUGUGAUGACUGUUUCCCUGGGUACUACUGGAAACAAGGCUGUUACUCCAACGUGUGUGACGAAGAACUGCUCCUAUGUCAGAACGGCGGGACGUGCUCCCAGAACCAGAAGUGUAUCUGUCCCCCAGAGUUUAAGGGCAUGCUGUGCCAACAGUCACGCUGCGAGGGGGACAAGGCCUGCAACACGGCCUGUACCCCCCACCUCCUCGCCCCCCUACUGCUCUGUGUCCUGCUACCCCACCUUCUGGCCACUUUAACUGCACACUGAGUCACCUGCUGCCCCCUCAAACACAGGGGGAACUGUUGUGUGUGUGGAUCCUUAGAGGAGGUUAGGUUGGGAAAGGUCUGCAAAUACACACCCACCCACACACACACACCUCACUGACUCGGGGAACGUGUGAGAGUAAAACAAGAGAAUGACUUCAGAGAGAACAGAGGAAGGUGGAGGAAAAUCAUACAACCAAACCCCCCGUCUCUCUCCCUUUAAUCUUGAGCUGGAGGAAUCUCGAUUUCAUACCAAAAAGCAUAAUUAUUAUUAAACGAGCAAACGACUGUUCGUUUAACACUUUAAAUCACUACUGUUCACUAUGAAGAAAAGGGAGGAAUUGCUGAUGUAACACAAGUACAUUUCCUUUGUCUUAAUUCAUUGAAUUAAUGUGCCCCUCUUCUCGAGACCCUGCACUUACUGCUCCAGACAGACAGACGGGGAGUGUGUUUGGCUAGACUUGGGGAGGGCUGGGCUGGGAGCAGAUUUGCUGCUGAGGUCUAUGUAGAAUAUACUGUAAACCAGGUUUCACAUCUUCGACUCAAAAUUACAGACUUGUUUUCACCUUUGACAUUUUUUUUAUUUCAUCUUCUUCAGUUGUUAUUGUAUGUUAUGUGCCCACCGACAGACGCUGAGAUUAUACAUCAUUAUUACAAUAUCCAGAGGGUUAUCAAUAUUAAGAUUUUAGUCACUAUAAUGGUUGUUAUAGGAAUGAGUCGCCACAGUUUAGCAAGAUUUUAUCUUCACACAGUAUUCAGGAGUAAAACAGAAUUUAAACUUAUCAGUCUGAAAGAAGAGAAAAAAAGAAAAGUAUCAAUAUAAUAUGACAUUAUUUGAAUAGUUUUUGUAGAGAUUAUUUUUGUUUGAAGUUAUAAUAAUAAAUGAACUAUUCCAGAUGAGCAUUUUAUUACACUGUAAACUUCACAGUAAAUGUGUGCUAGUUGUUUUUACUUGUACAUUCUUUCAAGAGAACAAAUGUGUCACGACCAAAACGGUCAGUUGGAACUACUCCAGUGGAAGUGUCUAGGUUGCAGAAAAGUACAAAAAGAUGACCUCAUUUAUUGGUAGGGGAGUGGGGUAAGUUGAGCCACCCCUUACUUCUAGGAAACCGUACACAAAAUGAAUCAUGUGACCAAAUAUCUAGAAAGAGGGCAUCAUUUCAUAGAGUCUGUGAAGGAAACAUCCACAUGGAAAAAAUGGUAAGUAAGUUAAGUAAAAUAAAAAAUAGAUUGUCUCAAAGUCAGAUGAAUGUGUUUCAUGAUGCUUGUGUCUAAACCAAAGUAGAUCGUUUUACGAUUGUUUUGUACAUCAGUUGGGUUCUCUUCAAGCUACAAAAUGUGGUGCUAAACUUAGCAUGAAAGUGCAUCCUUGUAGCUGUGUGGGCUAAUACAGUCAGAAUGUUUGCCUUGGGGUAAGUUGAGCCAAUGGCCACCAAUGACUACAUUUGGUCAGUGUUUGGGAUGCACCGAUAUGACAUUUUUGGCCGAUACCGAUAUUUUCCUUGCCAAAGAACUUGACACCGAUAACCAAUUUAAAACAUUUGAGUCAUUUUAAGCAUUGUAGUAGUUAAAUAGUUGAAACACACACACCAAAAAGUUAUUUUGUUGGCAUUUACAUAUGUUCCCAUUACCAGUAAAACAAACAAAACCUAUUUCUUUCACUUACUUGCUGUGCUGUUUCAUUGUUCAGUCGUUUCAUUCACAACCAAGAUUAUCAUAUUUUUCGUGGCAUCAUUACAUCAUGUUAUGUAGGUAUAGGCACGUCAGCUUUGACAUCGGCGCUAAAUUAAUACCGUCCGAUUCCGAGCUCACCGAUAUAUUGUGCAUCCCUAAUGAGUAUUAUGCAUAGUAGUUUUGCAAUGUGUCAUGCAUAUUAACUUUUUGUUACAGUGCAUCAGGCCCUCUGUAUACAAAAGUAAAACAAGCAGGGGUUUAGCCACCCUUGAGGUUCUUGAGAGAGCAGCCGAUUUAGUGACAUAAGAGAAUAAGUCCCCUUGAGCAGCAGCAAGGGAUGACAAAAUAGACGGAAUGACACUGAAGAGGCACAAUGACAAAAAAUAAAACUAACGUGAAGGAGAGGAUAGAGUAGCAGAGGCACACGAGGUCUUAUCUGAUGACAUGGAGUCUGAGCUUGAUGAACAUGUCAAUCAUUUCAGACUGAUUUCAUGGGCUUAGUAGCCUCAAAAUGCAGAGACCUUGCACACUGAAACAACAUACUUGUCCCAGACAACUGGUCAAGAAAUGGAACGGUAAGUGAUUUUGAACAGAGAUCUAUAUCUGAAUGUAGCCCUACAUUUAAGAUAUAUGAUAUAGCACACCUGCAUUCCAUGAAUUAAACUUUGACCUACCAGCACCAUGCCCCGAUGUCACAGGACAUCACACACUUACCCCCGAGGCGGAUCCAUGCUAAACUUACCCCAUACCCGAAUUCUGAUUAUUUCCAGGGAUACACAACAUCCUGAAAUACACUACAUGACCAAAAGUAUGUGGAUACCUGGUCGUUGAACAUCUCAUUCUAAAACCAUGGGCAUUAAUAUGGAGUUGGUCCCCCCUUUGCUGCUAUAACAUCCUCCACUCUUCCUGGGAAGGCUUUCCACGAGAUGUUGGAACAUUACUGCAGGUGAAAAAUU
rnacentral:lncRNA from 13 species